rnacentral:rRNA from 1 species
GAGGUCACACCUGUUCCCAUGCCGAACACAGAAGUUAAGCUCUUGAACGCCGAUGGUAGUUGGGACUUUGUCCCUGUGAGAGUAGGACGUUGCCAGGC